GACGAACGCUGGCGGCGUGCUUAACACAUGCAAGUCGAACGGAAAGGCCUGCUUUCCCUUGUGGAUUGCGGGUGCUCGAGUGGCGAACGGGUGAGUAACACGUGAGUGAUCUGCCCCCAACUUGGGUAUAAGCCCGGGAAACUGGGUCUAAUUCCCGAUAGGACUGCAGGGUGGUGCCUGUGGUGGAAAACGAUUUUCUAGUGGUUGGGGGUGAGCUCGCGGCCUAUCAGCUUGUUGGUGGGGUAAUGGCCUACCAAGGCGGCGACGGGUAGCCGGCCUGAGAGGGUGGACGGCCACAUUGGGACUGAGAUACGGCCCAGACUCCUACGGGAGGCAGCAGUGGGGAAUAUGGCACAAUGGGCGGAAGCCUGAUGCAGCGACGCCGCGUGGGGGAUGACGGCCUUCGGGUUGUAAACUCCUUUCGACCGCGAGGAAGCCACCUGGUUGGAAGGGUGGUGACGGUAGUGGUAGAAGAAGCACCGGCUAACUACGUG
rnacentral:rRNA from 1 species